rnacentral:rRNA from 1 species
UGGGGAAUAUUGGACAAUGGGGGCAACCCUGAUCCAGCAAUGCCGCGUGUGUGAAGAAGGUUUUCGGAUUGUAAAGCACUUUCGACGGGGACGAUGAUGACGGUACCCGUAGAAGAAGCCCCGGCUAACUUCGUGCCAGCAGCCGCGGUAAUACGAAGGGGGCUAGCGUUGCUCGGAAUGACUGGGCGUAAAGGGCGUGUAGGCGGUUUGUACAGUCAGAUGUGAAAUCCCCGGGCUUAACCUGGGAGCUGCAUUUGAUACGUGCAGACUAGAGUGUGAGAGAGGGUUGUGGAAUUCCCAGUGUAGGGGGUUGAAAUUCGUA